rnacentral:rRNA from 1 species
GAUGAACGCUGGCGGCGUGCCUAAUACAUGCAAGUCGAGCGAACGGACGAGAAGCUUGCUUCUCUGAUGUUAGCGGCGGACGGGUGAGUAACACGUGGAUAACCUACCUAUAAGACUGGGAUAACUUCGGGAAACCGGAGCUAAUACCGGAUAAUAUUUUGAACCGCAUGGUUCAAAAGUGAAAGACGGUCUUGCUGUCACUUAUAGAUGGAUCCGCGCUGCAUUAGCUAGCUGGUAAGGUAACGGCUUACCAAGGCAACGAUGCAUAGCCGACCUGAGAGGGGGUAGCGCCACCGUGAACCUGAACCGCGGUCCAGCCUCCCAGGGGGGGGAAAGAUGGGGAAUUUUCCCAAUGGGGGGAAAGCCUGCGGGAGCACCCCCGGGUGGGGGAAGAAGUUUUGGGGUUGGUAAAACUGUUUUAUUGGGGAAAAAAAUUUGUGAAAGUAACGUUGCACUCCUGACGGGAACCUAAAAAGAAAGCCCGGCUAAAUAACGG